ACACUGCAUUUACAUGGUAUAUAUUGGUAGGAACCUGUGCAAAUUGCACAAUUUGUUAUACAUGCUGCUUAAGUUGAUCAUCGUGUGACAUGUUGUGUUGUUAAUUGAACCUCAAGGAUAGAUAUGACACCUUACCGUUGCGUUAAUUCAAUUCUGAACGUUGAUUCAUAUCUGAAAGUUCAUUCAAGUCUGUAGUGCUUCAAGUUUGAAAGUUGGUACAGUAAUUUUGACAACUGACUCCUGCUGUAGUGCUUCAAGUCUUAUUGCUCCCUGUUUGAUUCAAGGUUGAGAUUGCGCAUAUCAAAAUGAAACUGCUAAUUAUUAAGUUCCAUAUUUGUCUCACUUAUCAUCGAUAGAAGACACUGAAAAGUAGUUCGCAAAUAAGUGAUGGGCGGGUUUCAUUUAUUUUCAAGAGGGCAUCAUGUUUCGAAAGUGAGUCACUAAUAAAUGGAUUCCACAUACUUGAUUGCAAUGUGUUUGUCUUGAUACAAUCCUUCGUGUGCCCAUGGGAUGUCCGGCAGGGACUGCUUUAGCCGUUCAAGAGGCCGAACACAUAUAAAUACACAUCCACUCCCUCGACCGAAGCCCCAACCCAGUUGCGUUGUUUCGUCCGUGCUCGACAUUGGUGUCUUGCCGUUCUGCCAAAGUCAUGGAAAUCUCACUGUUCUGCCAACCUGGCCGGAAUUUCUCCGUACUGCCGACUUCAUCGGAGUUACAUCUGCCCGUGUAGCCAAGGUACAUCAUUCAAACUACUCGAGUAAUACUAAUUCGGACUUGUUUUGGUCUAGCGGUUGAACUGAACCAUGCUACUGCACAAUAGCCAAAAGGAGAGUUAGUUUGUUUCUCUGACCCCUGUGAUUUGAAGAAGCUAAUCUGAACCAUGCUAUUACACAAUAGCCCAAAGUUUGUCUGAUAGAUAUGAGUAUCAUCAUAUAAUUUUGUUUCAAGAAUGUGUAAUAGGUAACCAACAAUGUUGUUUUCAGUUUACAAGAAUGCUAAUGUUGUUUGAAUGCAUAUAUAAUUACUGGAAUUAGUUUGAAUGCAUAUACAGCACCUUGAUGUUGAAUUUACAAGGUCCUGAUGUUGGAUUUACUGUCUUGUAGAUUUUGUAAUUUACAGUUACUCCACAAAGUUGGUGACUGUUGUUUGUACAGUGAGCUGAUAUAGAAUGCUUCAUCACACAAACUAAUCUGGCUGCAUAUUUACAAUAUCGUGAUGGUGGAUUUAUACUGUCCUAUAGAUUUUGAAUUUACAGUAUGGUGAUGGUGGAUUUACACUGCCCUAUAUAUUUUGUAAUUUAUUCUAGAAGCUGUAGCUCCAUAUAGUGUGUCAUUGUUGUUCGUACAGUGAGUUCAUAUAGAAUGCUUGAUCACAUGAAUUUGUCUCAAUGUAUAUUAUUAGUUUCACGGUGUUUAAUUUAUAAUACAUUGAUGAUGGAUUUAUGGUCCUAUGGCUUAUGUAAAUUUUAGUAGUUCUUUUGAGACUGUUUUAUUCUAUAGUGAGAUGAUAGUGGAUUUUCCAGUGGCCACCGCUUUCUGAGAUCACCAUCACUACCUAGCACUCUGAUUUUGAUAUAACUGUUGUCCUCCUAAUAGGUACUAUACUUUCUCUUUCUACUUCUUUUGUUUUGCCAUGUUUGUUACAGUUCAUUGUGAUUCUUUUAUAUUCAUUGUACCUCAUCUUGUUUGCUGUUCUCGAUGCUGCAACAUUGGUAACUGAGAAUCCGGCGACAGUCAAAUAGAAGUCUGAAGAAUUCUUGUCCUUCUCUUGUGUUGAACUCCAUUUCCAGGCUGCCGUAACUGAUGGUUAUCCGUGCUUUUCUCAGCUUCAUUAUUACUCUCUUUAUGUUCCACACAUGUGGCACAUUGUCUGAAGUGUAUGAAUUUCCCCAUAACAUGAUGGAUCCUUCAUCUUCAGCUAACUUGCAGCAAUGCAGCAAGUGUAUGCUUUUUAUUUAUUUAGUUUCUUCAUGAAUUUUUGUUGCUGAUGCAACCUGAAUGUGUGUUUACAUAUCAGUUUCUCUACUUGAUGUUUCUUAAUUACCUUGUCCAAGCUUAGAUUGUCAAGAAGUCAUUACUUUCCAGGGAUUUGAAGAAGCUGGAUCAAUACAAGCUUUAUGUAGAGAAACUUUAUGUAGCUUGUUGUCUUGUUGUACAUUGUCUGAAGCUUUAUAUAGCUUGUUGUCUUGCUGUACAUUGCUGUAACUUACAGUUACAGGGUUGUACAGUCCUGUAUCAUCAAACUGUUUUCUGUAGCAUCUUGUC